rnacentral:rRNA from 1 species
CGGGGGGAGCAAGCGUUGUUCGGAUUUACUGGGCGUAAAGGGCGCGUAGGCGGCGUGACAAGUCACUUGUGAAAUCUCCGGGCUUAACCCGGAGCGGCCAAGUGAUACUGUCGUGCUAGAGUGCGGAAGGGGCUACUGGAAUUCUCGGUGUAGCGGUGAAAUGCGUAGAUAUCGAGAGGAACACCUGCGGCGAAGGCGGGUAGCUGGGCCGACACUGACGCUGAGGCGCGAAAGCCAGGGGAGCGAACGGGAUUAGAUACCCCGGUAGUCCUGGCCUUAAACGAUGGAUACUUGGUGUCCGGGGUUACAUAGUCCCCGGGUGCCGGCGCUAACGCAUUAAGUAUCCCGCCUGGGGAGUACGGCCGCAAGACUG